UACGAAGGGGGGCUAGCGUUGUUCGGAAUUACUGGGCGUAAAGCGCACGUAGGCGGAUAUUUAAGUCAGGGGUGAAAUCCCAGAGCUCAACUCUGGAACUGCCUUUGAUACUGGGUAUCUUGAGUAUGGAAGAGGUAAGUGGAAUUCCGAGUGUAGAGGUGAAAUUCGUAGAUAUUCGGAGGAACACCAGUGGCGAAGGCGGCUUACUGGUCCAUUACUGACGCUGAGGUGCGAAAGCGUGGGGAGCAAACAGG
rnacentral:rRNA from 1 species